CAUAUGAUGCUUUCGCUGAUGACUUGAUCGCUCUCCUUGACGAGUUCAAACUGCUGGCGUCAGUUUUUGUCGGGCACUCUAUGUCCGGUAUGAUUGGAUGCAUUGCUUCCAUUAAGAGGCCUGAGCUCUUCAAGCGGCUCAUAUUCAUUGCAGCUUCUCCCAGGUAUGUAGAAAAAAAAAUGGCAAAUAAAAAAUAAAUUACUAAAAGAAAAUGCCCCCAGUUUCUGUUGUUUUCUCCUUUGAAUUCCUCCCUUGCUGGUUUAUAUAUUUGGUUUUUGCAGUUGCAGAUUCAAGCAUAUAUCCAUAAAUUUUAGUUUCUCAAAUUUCUAGAUUUUUAAGAAGCUAUCUUUUCUUUUUCUUUUUUCUUUUUUUUUCUUUUUUAGCAUUUCUUUCUUCCCUUUUCCUCUUAGUGGGUUUUAGAAAUUACAAAAAAUAUAGCUUUCAGGCUUCCUUUUUUCUAACUGUUCAGGAAAUAGCCAUGAUAGCUACUUCCUGCGUGGGCUAAUAAAGAUUAUAAUUUGUGGCACAGAAGCUACAUCUGGCUUGGCUGUGCAAAUAAAAGAUAUCAAGCAUGCAUGUGAUUGGGUAUAGUUAAUGUGUCAGAAGUGUUGGAUAAUUUGUGGGGUUUACAGACAUGUGGACAGGAGAGUUUGGGUAGGAUGGUACACAGCUUUUGUCUUGUAUUCUUGUGCCCAUGUAGGGUGAAUUUUUAAUGGCCCAUAACAUCAAGGCUGGUGAUCAGUACUAAUCAGAUAAGCUCAACCCCUCCCUAGCUUUUUUAAGAAGAUGCAAGGCUCGAAUUGGAAACUAACUGAAAGCUGCCUGUUUGAUAAUGAUUUCAAAAAACUAAUUUUUAAAAAAAUAGCUUUUUAAAUCUCUCAAAACAAAACUUUGGGAAUUUGUAAUAUUUUCAAUUUAUUUUCUUUAUGUUAAUUUAUUUUUUAAAAAUAACUUUUAUUUAUAAUAUUUAUUUUUUGAACAAGUUAUAAAAAUACUAAUAUUUUUUUAGUCUUUUUUAUCGAUAAUUUUUAAAUAGAUUCUAGGAUUUUCAUAGGCUUUUUUUUAUACCACACACAUAUAUAUAUAUAUAUAUAUGAAAAAUCUAAGUGAAAAUUAUAUCAAAGUACAAAGGAUUGAGAUUCAUAUAUGUAUGGCAAGAAUGUCUUAAGUUACAUGCAUAGCACCACCCGAUUAAUGGUGUCUUUUUAAUAUAUACCGAAGAACUAUCACUCCACAUCACGAUGGGUCUCUCUUUAUAUAUCAAACUAGCUGAAUACAUGAAAAUUUUGUAUAUUAGCUGUCAAUUAAUAUCUGCUAUGUCUCGCUUGUGCAAGUCUAUUCUUGGUUAGAUUUUCCUAAUUCAAUGCGUGAAGCUGGUAGGUAAGAUACAGUUUCGCACUUAAAAGCUUGACAUGAUCAACAACCCGUUUCGCUCGCAUUAACUAUGUAUAGGGAUGAGACCAAUAAGGUAGGGGUCAUGUACAAUACAAGUUCUCAUGGACAUUACUCUUGUUAAUGUUGUAUGUACGUAGGUACUUGAAUGCCAACAACUAUGAAGGGGGGUUUGAGAGAUCAGAGAUUGAGCAGAUCUUCGCCAACAUAGAAUCCGACUUUGACAAAUGGGCUUCAAACUUUGCCCCUCUCGCUGUGGAUGUCAAUGACCCUCUCUCAGUAGAGAAGGUAGAGAAAUGUAUCAGAAGAAUGAGACCUGAAGUCGCUCUCCCCUUAGCCAAAACAGUGUUCUGCUGUGACCAUCGUGACAUUCUCGACAAGGUUACGACCCCAUGCACUAUAGUCCAGCCCACUAAUGAUAUCGUCGCCCCAAUCUCCGU
rnacentral:lncRNA from 1 species